UUGAACGCUGGCGGCAUGCCUUACACAUGCAAGUCGAACGGCAGCACGGGGGCAACCCUGGUGGCGAGUGGCGAACGGGUGAGUAAUACAUCGGAACGUGUCCUGUAGUGGGGGAUAGCCCGGCGAAAGCCGGAUUAAUACCGCAUACGAUCUACGGAAGAAAGCGGGGGAUCUUCGGACCUCGCGCUAUAGGGGCGGCCGAUGGCAGAUUAGCUAGUUGGUGGGGUAAAGGCCUACCAAGGCGACGAUCUGUAGCUG
rnacentral:rRNA from 2 species